rnacentral:tRNA from 1 species
GCUUCUUUAGCUCAGUUGGUACGAGCGUCCGACUGAAGUAUUCAGUUGCCACUAUUCUAGUGGAUGGAACACGCUGCUUGGUCAGCAGUUUGCAAUCGGGAGGUCAUCUGUUCGAUCCAGGUAAGGAGCA